AGAGUUUGAUCCUGGCUCAGAGUGAACGCUGGCGGCGUGCCUAACACAUGCAAGUCGAGCGAAGUGGCAGCUGUAGCAAUACAGUAUGUGCUUAGCGGCAGACGGGUGAGUAACACGUAGACAACUUACCUCUUAGCGGGGGAUAGCCCGCCGAAAGGCGGGGUAAUACCGCGUACGAUCACGAACCGGCAUCGGUUUGUGAUGAAACAUCCGCAAGGAUGGCUAUGAGAGAGGUCUGCGGCCUAUCAGCUAGUUGGUGAGGUAACGGCUCACCAAGGCAACGACGGGUAUCCGGCCUGAAAGGGUGAUCGGACACACUGACACUGAGACACGGGUCAGACUCCUACGGGAGGCAGCAGUGAGGAAUUUUGGACAAUGGGGGCAACCCUGAUCCAGCGACGCCGCGUGAGGGACGAAGGUCUUCGGAUUGUAAACCUCUUUUAUUGGGGAAUAAGAAAUCUAUGGAAACAUAGGGAGUGAAUGUACCCAAUGAAUAAGCCACGGCUAACUUCGUGCCAGCAGCCGCGGUA
rnacentral:rRNA from 1 species